UACGUAGGGUGCGAGCGUUGUCCGGAAUUAUUGGGCGUAAAGAGCUUGUAGGCGGUUUGUCGCGUCUGCUGUGAAAAUCCGGGGCUCACUCCGGACUUGCAGUGGGUACGGGCAGGCUAGAGUGUGGUAGGGGAGGACGUGGAAUUCCUGGUGUAGCGGUGGAAUGCGCAGAUAUCAGGAGGAACACCGAUGGCGAAGGCAGGUCUCUGGGCCACUACUGACGCUGAGAAGCGAAAGCAUGGGGAGCGAACAGG
rnacentral:rRNA from 1 species